rnacentral:tRNA from 1 species
GGGUCUGUAGCUCAGGUGGUUAGAGCGCACCCCCGAUAAGGGUGAGGUCGGUAGUUCGAGUCUACCCCAGACCCACCA